rnacentral:rRNA from 1 species
GACGAACGCUGGCGGCGUGCCUAAUACAUGCAAGUAGAACGCUGAAGGAGGAGCUUGCUUCUCUGGAUGAGUUGCGAACGGGUGAGUAACGCGUAGGUAACCUGCCUGGUAGCGGGGGAUAACUAUUGGAAACGAUAGCUAAUACCGCAUAAUAGUAGAUGUUGCAUGACAUUUGCUUAAAAGGUGCAAUUGCAUCACUACCAGAUGGACCUGCGUUGUAUUAGCUAGUUGGUGAGGUAACGGCUCACCAAGGCGACGAUACAUAGCCGACCUGAGAGGGUGAUCGGCCACACUGGGACUGAGACACGGCCCAGACUCCUACGGGAGGCAGCAGUAGGGAAUCUUCGGCAAUGGACGGAAGUCUGACCGAGCAACGCCGCGUGAGUGAAGAAGGUUUUCGGAUCGUAAAGCUCUGUUGUAAGAGAAGAACGAGUGUGAGAGUGGAAAGUUCACACUGUGACAGUAUCUUACCAGAAAGGGACGGCUAACUACGUG